GGAGGAGGCGCAGUCACCACCAGGACACACAUGAUUCAUCUCUGCUCGCCGCCCCUGCCCACUCUCAACAGCACUCAGGCUCAAGGUGCAGCCAGAGAUAUCCCACAUGCUUCAAAACACCCCCUGUGACGAGCUAGAAGAUCAGCAAGAAGGCACGGCUUAUGACCUAGCAGUUGUUCACAAAGUGGAAGGGUUGCAGAGUCUUGAUCUUACUUUCCAAACAAGUGAUGUUUUCUGCCCAUCUUGUCUCCAUCUGAUGACUGAAGUUUACGACAAAAUGCCACAACCGCUACCCAUUCACCAUAAUGGGCUUUCUCUCCCAUUAGUGGCGUAAUAAGAAAGAGCCCAUCACCUGUGUCACCUGAGGGCUGAUGCCGCCUCCACAUCCAUCAUCCCACAACAAAAGGUGACCCAUAUUAUCCAGGUAGCCAUCUCUUAUAAUGCUGUCUGCUUUCAGGCUGUUGCACAGAAUACCAUGGCUUUGAAACACUUUAAUUUCUACUCACUAAGUGGCAAGUGUUUACAAACUCAUAUAAGUUGCUGGCCUCAAUCACAAACUGAGAACAACUAAAAUAAAAUCUAAGACCAAGAAUUCCACAGUGGUAGAAAUAGUGGAACCACCUGCCCAUAGCCUAAAUAACUUGCAAGAAGAAGCCAGUCUGGAGCUUUAUUGUUCAAUCUCACCACUUUCAUCCACCUUUUUUCUAACCUCUUUGUCCAGCAAAUAGCCAAGAGACAGGGUUAGAGACUAGCUGGUGGACAUUUACUGUAAAGGCUAAAGAUAAUUUUCUCAGGUGCUGAAACCAGAGCUAAAAGGAGAGCAAAUACUCAUGAGGUGGGCAGAAACACAAUUAUGAAUGUUGCCCUGUAUCUGCCAGAUGCUGAAGUAGGCAACUGCUUGACAACACAUUUGCCAAAAAUGUUUCAAUACAAUAGCUUGUUGUGUUGCCCGCAAAUGACUCACUGUCUAAAGAUAUAGUUACUCUAGAUGGCAUUACCUUGGGCUCUAGCACCACUGUCAGGAAUCUUGGAGUUAUCUUUGAUCAAGAUUUGUCAUUUAAUUCCCACAUGAAGCAGACCUCUAGGACUGCCUUCUUUCAUUUACGUAAUAUUAGAAAAAUUAGACACAUCCUAUCACAGACAGAUGCAGAAAAACUAAUCCAUACAUUUGUUACUUCUAGGCUGGAUUACUGCAACUCUUUAUUAUCAGGUUGCCCAGAUAAGUCCAUUAAAACGCUCCAAUUAAUUCAGAACGCUGCAGCACGAGUACUGACAGGAACUAGGAAAAGAGAUCACAUCUCUCCUGUACUAGCUUCUCUGCACUGGCUCCCUGUAAAAUGUAGAAUAGAAUUUAAAAUUCUCCUCCUCACCUAUAAAGCUCUUCAUGGUCAGGCCCCUUCAUAUCUUAAAGAGCUCAUAGUACCCUAUUACCCCUCUAGAACACUACGUUCUCUGAAUGCUGGGCUACUUGUGGUUCCUAUAGUCUCUAAAAGUAGAACAGGAGCCAGAGCCUUCAGUUACCAAGCUCCUCUCCUGUGGAACCAGCUUCCAGUUGUGGUUCUGGAGGCAGACACCCUCACCACAUUCAAGAGUAGGCUUAAGACAUUCCUCUUUGAUAAAGCUUAUAGUUAGGGCUGGAUCAGGUGAGUCCUGAACCAUCCCUUAGUUAUGCUGCUAUAGGCCUAGACUAUCGGGGGAUUUCCCAUGGUGCACUGAGCUCCUCUCUUCCUCUCUCUUUCUGCACUCAUUCAUGUCCCAUUAAUGCAUGUUACUAACUUCACUUCUUCCCCGGAGUUCUUGUGCUUUCUCGUCUCGCAGGUUCUCAUCGAUCCUGGUGGAGCCUCCUGCCAUGGUCCUGCUAGAUUGCCAUUGCCAAUACUGUUGUUGCUGUGCACCUGUCUGUCUGUCUGUCUGUCUGUCUGUCUGUCUCUCUCUCUCUCUCUCACCCCAACUGGUCGAGACAGACGACCACCCACCUAGAGCCGAAGGAUCUGUCCUAGGUUUCUGCCUUUUAACAGGCAGUUUUUCCUUGCCCUUGUCGCCAUGGUCUUGCUCAUGGUGGUACUGUUGGGUCUCUGUAAAUAAUGUUAUAAAGAGUUCGGUCUAGACCUGCUCUAUUUGAAAAGUGUCCUGAGAUAACUUCUGUUAUGUAUUGGCGCUAUACAAAUAAAAUUGAAUUGAAAUGCACAAAUAAUUAAUUCAUGCAGGUUUAACAAAGACAGUGAGGUCAAAGAUUCAGGUGUGUUAUGGUAGUAGCAGCUAA